UCUUUUUUCCAAGGAAAAGAACACGGAGAGAGGGAGGGAGGAUUGGAAGGAAGAAGUUUAUUGCCGUGUGAAGGAGGUGAUAUCGCCGUGUGAUGUGGAGGCGUUGAACAAAGUAAAGGGGGUUCACUCGAGUGUCACUCACAGAAUGAGGCCUUCAAGUCUUCUUCUUCUUCUUUCAACAACCCUCCUCCUCCUCCUCCUAUUUCAUCUCCGGAAUCCCGAACAAAGUCAGCUUGAGCAAUUUCAGAUCUUUCUGGUUUAAAAGGAGAAGCUUCUUCUUGGAUUUUCACGUCUCUGCAAUGAUGAAUGUAAGAACCGGCAUCUCAUGCAGGCCAUUUAAAUUUUAAACAGCCACUGCCCAUCCACAGCAGAGUUAUACAAUUCAUUGCAGAGUCAGAUAGGUCAUAACUUACGAGGUCCACAAGACGAUACGAGCUCCGUUGAGUUUUGGAGACUGAAGAACUCUUCACUGUAGAGACUAGCUAUGAAGAAUUUCUUGAUUGAAUUAAUCAAUGAUUCUACUAUAUUUU